AGAGACGAGUCAGAGUUUGAUCCUGGCUCAGGAUGAACGCUAGCGGCAGGCUUAACACAUGCAAGUCGAGGGGCAGCAUAAAACGUUGCUUGCAACGUUUGGUGGCGACCGGCGCACGGGUGCGUAACGCGUAUGCAACCUACCUGUAACAGGGGGAUAACACUGAGAAAUUGGUACUAAUACCCCGUAACAUCACUUAAGGCAUCUUUAGUGGUUGAAAGUUCCGGCGGUUACAGAUGGGCAUGCGUUGUAUUAGCUAGUUGGAGAGGUAACGGCUCACCAAGGCGACGAUACAUAGGGGGACUGAGAGGUUAACCCCCCACAUUGGUACUGAGACACGGACCAA
rnacentral:rRNA from 1 species